CCCACUCCUGCUUGCCGCCUGCCGCUCCCCUGAUCUCCUCCCCCCGCACCCGAUCUCCGCCGCUCGCCGCCUAGGGUUCCGGCGACAUCCGCGCCGACCGCCGCCUCCCCCCUCCGCGAUGUCGCACCCCGUCACCCCGCGCCGCUCCACCCGCUCCUCCGCAGGCUCCGCCUCCGAUCCCGCCUCCCCGACCUCCCCGUCCAAAUCCAGGCCCAAAUCCACGCCCAGGCGCCAGCUCAUUCCUGCCGCCGCGAAGGAGGAGGAGGGGGAGGAUGAGCGGAGCACCAUCAACGCGCUCCUCGAGGCGUUGCCCGGCCGCCGCGCGCAGGCUUCGGACCUCCUCCGGCUCCUGGCGCCCGCGCCGGCGCUCCCUUUGCUCCUCUACGGGGGCGCGGCCACGGGGAAGACGCGCGCGCUCCUCCUCGCGCUCCGCCACAUCCUCCCCCGUCCGCGGCUCGUCGCAUACGCCGCGCUGCGCUCCCUACCGUCCCCUCGUUCGCUUUUCGCCUCCCUCCUCUCCCAGCUCAGCCCGCCGUCGUCGUCCUCCGCCUCCUGCCGCAAGCGCGUCCCCGACAAGCCAUCGGACUUUGUCGCCGCCCUCCGCGAUGCCCUUGCCACCCACUGCGCCCAGGGCGAGUCCGUGUAUCUGGUGUUCGAUAACCUGGAGGUUGUUAGGAGCUGGGACAAGGGCGGCCAGCUUCUCGCUCUCAUCCUCCGCCUCCACGAUCUCCUCCGCUUGCCUCAGGUCGUGCUUGUCUAUGUAAGCAGUGCAACGCCUGAUGCCUACUACUCUAUGACUGGCUCUGUUGAGCCGAAUCACAUUUACUUCCCAGAUUACACAGUGGACGAGGUUCGCGACAUUCUGAUGCGAGGCCAUCCCAAUCCGAAGCUGUACACAUCCUUCCUUAGUGUGGUACUGAAGCCAUUGUUCCGGGUGACAAGGAGGGUUGAUGAAUUGGGGGCCGCACUGGAGCCACUUUUCAGGAGGUACUGUGAGCCACUAGGUGAUAUGAACGCAGUCCCGGAUGAGAGCACUAAGAGGAGGUUGUUUGAACAUAUUCAGCCACAUUUGGCUGUUGCUUUGAACGAGACAUUCAGUGUUCCCAUGAGGGCUUCUGUGGAUCAGUGCAAGGAUGGCAAUUCUGGUGUUAAGGCCAGUACUAAAAGGCAGUUCAGCGGUAGAGAUAGUUUGUCGACUGAAUUAGAGUUUCACAUGUCCGUGUCUGCAAAAUACUUACUGUUGUCAGCUUUCCUGGCUUCAAGGAACCCGGCUACUCUUGAUGCAGCUUUGUUCGAUUCAACUGGAGGGUCAGAUAACCAUAAGCGCAAGAGAAAGAGCUCUCAGGCCUCUAUAAAUAUGAAGGACACCAUGGUUGAAGAGAUGCUUAUGAAAGGCCCUGGUACAUUUCCUCUUGAGAGACUCCUGGCUAUAUUUCAGUGCAUUACAUCAGUGUCAAAAGAUGAUCUGAGCGAUGUUGAAUGUCCUGAUAGUAUGAUGAAUGGAAGUGGGAUGACUGGUUUGAUGUCAGACAUUCUUUUGCAAUUGUCAACAUUGUGCAAUUCCAAUUUUCUCUCCAAAAGCCGGAGCUGCCCUCUAGAAGGAUCAGCUAGAUACCGAUCUAACAUCGAUGAAGAUUUAGCUCUCAAGGUUGCAAGGAGUGUUAGUUUCCCCCUCUCGAAGUAUAUCUACAGAAGAUAGCCUUUGCAUCCUUAGUCUAGGCUGUAACAACUGGUUGAUUGAUUUCACUAGUAUGACAUUCAAAAUAACUAUCAAAAGCAGCUCAUAUCCCCAAUGCCCCUCAGUAUCUGGUUUGUAGUUCAACAUUGGCAGAUGAUCGACAUUGCUCUCCUUGAUUACUGAUUCAUGGGUGUUCAUGCUGUUCAAGUUAACUGGUACAGACAAGGCGGCAUUGCACUGCUAGGUUUCUCCAUGUCAUCAAAGCCUGAAGCAUUGAAGCUCUUCAUUGGGAUCCCGUUGCUGGUUCCAUCAACAAUAUCACCCUUUUCUUGAAGUUGCAGGGCAAAUUCAAGUUUCCACAGAACGUCUCCCAUUGAUGGACGGUCAACUCCAUAGUCAGCAAGGCAUUUCUCAGCAGCCUCGGCAAACAUCUCAAGUGAAUCAGGCCUGAUUUGUCCUACAAUGUGAGGAUCAAUUAUUUUAUUAAGCUCUCCCUUGCGGUACCAUGUAAGGGCCCAUUCUGCGAGGUUCACUUGAUCUCUUGGAAGUGCUGGAUUGAUGGCUUGCCUUGCACACAGCACCUCAAAGAGUACCACACCAAAAGAGUACACAUCCGAUUUCUCCGUUAGCUGUUGACGUCUGAAGUACUCUGGAUCAAGGUAGCCAAAGCUUCCUUUGACUGCUGUGCUGACAUGGGUUUGCUCAAGGGAUGGAGCAGCUUUUGAUAGGCCAAAGUCAGCAACCUUGGCCACAAAAUUUUCAUCAAGGAGAAUGUUAGUAGUCUUGACAUCACGGUGAAUUAUGCCCUGAGCUGCACCUGUAUGAAGAUAAUGCAGGCCCUUUGCCGCCCCAAUGCUAAUUUCUAAGCAUUUCUUCCAAGAGGGAGGCUUCAGGUUCAUACCACCAUAGAGAUGAUCCCUCAAUGGACCAUUUGACAUGAAUUCAUAAACCAAGAUCAUCUCAUUGUUCUCAUCACAGCAACCAAUGAGUGACACCAGGUGUCGGUGACGUAGCUUUGACAACAUUUGAAUUUCAGUCAGGAAUUCAUUCAUACCUUGAUCAGAAGAUGGAUUGCCUCGCUUGAUAGCCAGCUUUGUGCCAUCCUCAAGAACACCAAGAUACACUUUUCCAAAACCACCGACACCAAUGACAUCCUUUUCGUCAAAGUUUUUUGUGGCUUUCUGAAUUUCAGCGAAGGUGAAAUAGCGGCCUAGUCCAUAAGCACUAGAUGCAAAUAUGCUCGAAAAACCACUCUUGGUCCUUGUGGAGCCAAAGCGAUUUCUGGAGAGCCUGCUGCAGCUGCUCAUGAAGCUCGAUUGGCUGGAGUUGAGUGGAAGGAACCAAGAAUGGAAGCUGUUUGUCUUCUGCCAUUCUGGCCUUCGGUUUUGCCUGCAGCAUAUAACCAUGGCCAAUGCAGCUGCAAUCACUGCCAAAGCAAGACCUACACCGGUAAGUGUCCUCUUACCAAGUUGUGAGCUUGUUUUUGGUGAAAAGAGGCCAUCUAAGCUGUUUGCUUGGUUGCUUAUCUUCAUGACUUCAAGUCCAUUAAGGAUGGCAUCAGUGUUGCUGGAGUCGGUUGUGCUUGGGCCAACCUGCACUAGAAGGCUGGAGUUGAUGAUGCUGGAUGAGUCCACAGUAAAGUCCUGGUAGUAGGCUACUGCAAGCCCCAUUGUCAAGCUUGAGAGGUCGAGGUUGGAUACACCCAUCAAGCCAUUUAUGUAGACAUUGAAGUAGAGGCUAUUGAGUGCCUUGCUUAUAAUAUCACAGAAAUGUAGACGGAUGAGGUACUUGAAUCCUGGCUCUGCUUCCAUUUCCCAAGUUAUGUUGAAUCUUGCUUGCGAGGUAUUUGUUGAGGCUGUCUGCUGUGCUGUUGAGUAGAUGAAUGCUGGAGCAAUGAGUGGUGUGAUGGUCUUGUCAUCAGGAUACUUGAUGGUGCUAGGAGGAACCCAAGCUGCUUUUGCUGCUGCCUCAAGCUUCAAAAAAGGUGCAUCUGGUAACCAGGUUCGGCCCAGUGUGUCAUUGAAGGCAGUCACGAGUGCACCUCCCAUGUUCAGCCUGUAGACUACCUGCAAUGCGCUGUUGGAGAUGUCAAAUUGUUCCUGGGGAGGCAGGCUGUUGGUGGUAUUUGGAAUCAGGAUGGGUGGUGCUGAGACAACCUCAAUAGCAUUGAUGAAUGCUAUUGAGUCCUCCUUUGGGGUAAAAAUGAUCUUCAAGUUGUCUCCUUGAGUUACGACAAUAUACUCCUUAAGGACAGGUUUCAGGGGACUGGCAAUGAACGAGAAGUCAUGGAGAAGAACCAUAUUGUCAGUGAACACAGAGAAUGUAGCUGUGGUGAGGUUGUAUUGUUUGUCAAGGAUAGGUAAGAAGUAGAGACGGACCCAAUGGCGACCAGGCUGUGAGACGAAGAAGCUAUAAGUUGAGACAUCGGAGAAAACUCUUGCGGACAGGUAGAGUGGGGAUAAUGGUGAAGCAGCAGUUGGAAAAUUGUUAACAGUGAUCUUGAUGUCCACUGGGGUGGACAAAAAAGAUGCUGACUCUGGAUCAGAACGGAAUGUCCUGCCAUCAUCAAGCUUCACAGAACCAGAUGCUCCACAGCUAAUGAGGUAGUUGUCUUGAGGCACAAAUGAAUCUUUUGGCGAUGCAAUUGCAUGGGUGCUGGCGAUACUAGUGAUUGCAAGAAUGGAAAGGGUGAUGAACAUUGGUACUCUCUUCCACUCGAGCAAGCUUCCAUUGCUUCUGGCCAUCUUUGUUGAUGUUGGCAUCAGAUGCAUUAGCAUGUAGCAAACACUUUGUGGUGGCUUCUCAUGAGGGAUGAAAGUGGUAUCUGGAUUGAAGAAGAGGGAAAGGAUUCAGGGAUGAAUGAGGUCUUUGGUUGGCUUUUGGAGGGAAUGGACUGAUUGAUUACUGAAAUAUAUGGUAUUGGUUGAGGGCACGUCCAGAUGGAUCAGGUUGCUACCAAACUAUCAUGUUGAAUUAGUAACUGCAAUAUUCUUUUCGAAGCUCAUGUACAGAUGGCAUGUGAAUGUUUAAAUGUGCUUUGAAAAGGGAGCCUACAGUACAGGCCAUUUGCUGCAAUAUACUCAGGCUGGAAUAAUUCCAGUAGAGCUGUCUAGGUAUUGCACUCAUUAUUUUUUUUUAUAAAAGUAGCUGUGUCAUGGAGGUUUAUUAAAGUAGGUUAAGAUUUGGAAUCUGAGAGCUCUUUUCUUGCUCUGUUUGUUGUAGGAUAUGAAUAUUAAUGGAAGAACUAAUCAAUCUAAUCACCAGUUGGUUCUUGGCUGUUACCCCCAGUUAAUGGCUUAAGUAAUCACAACUCAAAUUGACGCUUUCGUCGAAAACGAGGGUGCGCGGUGUGACCUUGGUCCAAAAUAAUGUCCCAUUUCGUAUCGGACAGCUGCAGCAGUAGAUCACGUAAGUGGCUCUCCAUUUCUCUGCUCACACAUCUUUGUUUGACCAGCUUAUUAGUGGGACGCCAAUAACUUUAGCUGCUACAAUCCAUUUAUUAUUUCUUCUUUGAAAAGAAAUAUGAACCAUUCAAUUGGUAAGUCAAGCCUUCCUUUCAUACUUUUUUUUGGGGCAUUGGCGUUUUUGCCCUCGUUUUCAUGUGUAAUGGUGAUUUUACCCUUUUUUUUCUAACUUUGUGAAUUUACCUCUGUUA